AUACGGAGGGUGCAAGCGUUAUUGGGAAUCACUGGGCGUAAAGGACGCGUAGGCGGGUUGGCAAGUCAGAUGAGAAAUCCUACAGCUUAACUGUAGAACUGCAUUUGAAACUGCUAACCUAGAGUAUGGGAGGGGGAGAUGGAAUUAGUGGUGUAGGGGUAAAAUCCGUAGAUAUCACUAGGAAUACCGAAAGCGAAGGCGAUCUCCUGGAACAUAACUGACGCUAAGGCGUGAAAGCGUGGGGAGCAAACAGGAUUAGAAACCCUUGUAGUCC
rnacentral:rRNA from 1 species